GACAGAGGUGCCGAGCGUUAGGCGGAAUCACUGGGCUUAAAGCGUGUGUAGGCGGAUGGGUAAGUACCUUGUGAAAUCCCACGGCUCAACCGUGGAACUGCUCGGUAUACUGCUCGUCUUGAGCCAACUAGGGGCGACCGGAACAAACGGUGGAGCGGUGAAAUGCGUAGAUAUCGUUUGGAACGCCGAUGGUGAAAACAGAUCUCUGGGCCGUAACUGACGCUGAGGAGCGAAAGCAUGGGGAGCGAACAGG
rnacentral:rRNA from 1 species